rnacentral:rRNA from 1 species
CCUACGGGGGGCUGCAGUGGGGAAUAUUGGACAAUGGGGGCAACCCUGAUCCAGCCAUGCCGCGUGUGUGAAGAAGGCCCUCGGGUUGUAAAGCACUUUCAGUGAGGAAGAACGCCUGGUGGUUAAUACCCAUCAGGAAAGACAUCACUCACAGAAGAAGCACCGGCUAACUCCGUGCCAGCAGCCGCGGUAAUACGGAGGGUGCGAGCGUUAAUCGGAAUUACUGGGCGUAAAGCGCGCGUAGGUGGCUUGAUAAGCCGGUUGUGAAAGCCCCGGGCUCAACCUGGGAACGGCAUCCGGAACUGUCAAGCUAGAGUGCAGGAGAGGAAGGUAGAAUUCCCGGUGGAGCGGUGAAAUGCGUAGAGAUCGGGAGGAAUACCAGUGGCGAAGGCGGCCUUCUGGACUGACACUGACACUGAGGUGCGAAAGCGUGGGUAGCAAACAGGAUUAGAUACCCGGGUAGUC